rnacentral:rRNA from 1 species
UACAGAGGUCUCAAGCGCUGUUCGGAUUCAUUGGGCGUAAAGGGUGCGUAGGUGGCGCUGUAAGUCGGGUGUGAAAUUUCGGAGCUUAACUCCGAAACUGCAUUCGAUACUGCGGUGCUUGAGGACUGGAGAGGAGACUGGAAUUCAUGGUGUAGCAGUGAAAUGCGUAGAGAUCAUGAGGAAUACCAGAGGCGAAGGCGGCUACCUGGACAAUUGCUGACGCUCAGGCACGAAAGCGUGGGGAGCAAAAGGG